rfam:Puccinia sorghi strain RO10H11247 Scaffold_498, whole genome shotgun sequence.
GUGUCCUUAGUACAGACGUGGUUAGUACACUUCACAUGGACAUAAGAGAUGUGGGUUCAAUUCCCACAGGGCACA